GUGGAUUCGCUGAGGGCGCAACGGUCCCGCCUCUCUUUAUCUCUUUUGAUGUCUGGUUGGGCCUUCCGAAUAACAGCCCCCGCCUCCUCGUAGUAGUGUGACGUUGGGAAUGGUUUGUUCUUCUCCGCCUGGAUGUCGGCGGGUUCGCUCUACCCCUCCCGCUCGGCGUCCCUUAAACUUGUUUGGUCAAAGGCCGCGCAGGAGACCUCGUUUCCUAUUGGUCCGUUCGGUUGCUCAACUGUUGCUAUGGGAAUGAAGGCCUUCUGGGGGUUUACCUAAAAGUCACAAGGCUACAUUCCGCACUACCGUAUAGAAAACACCACACUAGGGACCGUUACUGGCAUUUGCUGAGGUUUUGUCAAUGCUGCUUAAUAUUUUGGAUGCCUUUUGCUGAUAGCCAAUGUAAAUUCAUUACACAUACAAAUGCAAAACCAGUGAAUUAAAGUAAUUCCAAAUAGGCCCAAGUAGGCUUUCAAUAAACUCCAAAUUACAGUGGUACCUCGCAAGACGAAAACGCGCAAGACGAAAGAGUUUUUCGUUUUUUGAGUUGCUUCGCAAGACGAAUUUCCCUAUGGGCUUGCUUUGCAAGACGAAAAACGAAAACGUCUUGCAAGUUUGUUUCCUUUUUCUUAAAACCGUUAAUACCCUAUGGGAAACCGUGCUUCGCAAGACGAAAAAUUUGCAAGACGAAAAAACUCGCAGAAUGAAUUAAUUUCGUCUUGCGAGGCACCACUGUAUUUCAAGGAACAUUGAUCUCUGAAUUAGAUUAACGCUGCCAUCUUACUGUUGACAUUCAUACGUCCUGGUAAUGUGAUAACUCCCAUGGAUACACAAAUACAUUUCAUUUUCCCCUAAGGACAAACGGUUUCGUCUCUGUGGCAUGGCAUGUGAUGAAACCUCCAGGAAUACGUCUAGCUAGGCAGACCAAUCUUUAUUUAAAAUUCAACCGAAACAAACUAAUGACCUUUCCCAGACAAGAUGAAAACCCACACGGGACCCAUCUUGAAGUUGUGUGGGGAAAAACAGGGUCAUUUCUGUUGUCUGGUUAAAGGUGGAUGUGCUCCACUUUUUUCAAUGACAUGCACUCACAGUCCUUAACCAUUUAUAUAAUAUUUAUUUUAUAAUGUAUAAUUUACAAAGUGCUUUUUUUAAAUAGGCAAGCAGUUUCACAAUCCAUAUUUACAAUCCGUCUUUAUCAUUCUUCCCCACUCCCUCAGCAGUUGGGCCACCUUUGUUUUUAUAAUGUGUCUGUUUGGUGGAGGGCGUGACCUGAAAUCCCUCAGGCAUUGAAAGUGUGCUUUGUUUGUUUUUAGGGGUGGUCAUAUCCAGAACUGCCUCCAAAUGUGUAAAAGAUCUUGUGCAUAUGUUGUGUUAUAAUAAUUCUAAGGUCUCAAAUAUAUAAUAAAUAUUCAUAAAUGCACAUGUAUCUAAAUACAGCGGUACCUCGGGUUACAUACACUUCAGGUUACAGACGCUUCAGGUUACAGACUCCGCUAAUCCAGAAAUAGUACCUCGGGUUAAGAACUUUGCUUCAGGAUGAGAACAGAAAUUGUGCUCUGGUGGUGCUGCGGCAGCGGCAUUAGCUAAAGUGGUGCUUCAGGUUAAGAACAGUUUCAGGUUAAGAACAGAUUAAGUACUUAACCCGAGGUACCACUGUACUAACCUUACUGUAGUUGUAUUACUAACCUUGCUUUUCACUGGAUCCUGCCUCCAUCCAUUUUCUCUGACCGAUCAUGGACAUAGGGGACUUGGAGUCCCAUAGGGAGUUGAGGAGUGAAAGCCAAACCCCAAUUUUUACAUCAGUUGGUAUGUGUGAAGGGCAAACAUCUGGCUGGUGGAUGGGAGGAACUUCUUUCAGUGCACAAGGGUGGUUAGUGAGAAGAACCAUGACAAUGUGACUGGAGAGGUAGAAUAUAUAUAUAUAUAUAUAUAUAUAUAUAUAUAUAUAUAGUUGAUUUUUAUUCUAUGUAUUUUCCUUCUGCUCUUCUUCCCAGAGUGACUCACAAAACUGGAAGAUCAAAAACAAGCAAAACGACAGCAAUAUAAUAGUUAAGAAGCAGCAGAACAGUAAACUCAGAUACUAAAACGUGAGUCAAGUGCAAAGCGUUUUAUUAAAACUGAAUGAAGUGAGCACCGCACAAGCCUCUGUCAGGAGGCAUUUCACAAAGGGUCACCACUGAUAAGACCCUAACUUGGUUCACCACCCACCUUGCCUCCAAACUGGCCUUAAUGUGGUUGUUUAUUAUAUCCAAUGUAUUUAUUCUAGCUGCAGUUUCUUCUCUAACCCACUCCCUUUGUAAAUAACCCUGGCCACCAUUUUUAAAAGGGGCAGAAAACCUACACCAGACACUACCAGCAUUUUAUUUAUUUAGAAGAAUUUAUAAACCACUUAAAUGUAAUUCCUAAGAGGUGUACAUAAAGCGAUUUGAAACAAUGGUCCGUAUUCAAAAAAUUGGGGAGGGGACACAUGUACAGUAUAUACAACUUGUUGGGAGGCUUAAAAAAAAUCAUUUUAGCAGGUAGCAGAAACAGCACAAUUAACUAAUGUCAAUAAUCUGGGAAUUUCAGAACACAGGAACUAUGAUGCGUGCAAGAGUGCAAGUUCCACACCUUGAAGGAGUUGAGCAAGGUGAUCCCUCAGGUAAAUUGGUCCCAAGCUACUUAAAGCAACACCUUGAACUUGGGCAGGUAGGAAGUCAGGAGUCAGUGCAGAUCAUUCAGCAAAGGUGUAACAUGCUGGCAGCAUCUCACUCCUGUCCUGUCAGCAAUCAUGAUGCACUGACUACACCUUCUGGAGGAACCACAAGAGAAAUCCCACACAGAACAUAUUGCAACAAUCCAAUCUGGAAGUUACCAACGCCCAAACGAACAGAUUUAGGAGGCACACAGGGAGAGGAGGAGAAGGGGAAGUGGCAGUGUGAAGCCACAAAUCACCACACUUGCGGAAACUGCUCUGAAAAGAAUGGCAUGUCACUUGGAGACUCUCUAUGGGGCAAGUGGCUAAUACGUUGAAUAUUAUCAGUAUCGCUGACAAAGCCUAAUCCAGGAGCACUCUCAGACUGGGAUCUUGCUCUUUCAGAAAGUGUGUAACCCCAUGCAGAUCAGGCAACGGGCCAACCAGCCUGGCGAUUGAAUCUGACUUUUAACAUUGGCGACAUGACAGUACAGUGGUACCUCUGGUUAAGAACUUAAUUCGUUCCGGAGGUCCAUUCUUAACCUGAAACUGUUCUUAACCUGAGGUACCUCUUUAGCUAAUGGGGCCUUCCGCUGCCGCCACGCAAUUUCUGUUCUCAUCCUGAAGCAAAGUUCUUAACCCGAGGUACUAUUUCUGGGUUAGCGGAGUCUGUAACCUGAAGAGUCUGUAACCUGAAGCGUCUGUAACCCGAGGUACCACUGUAUCGUCUCCUCUGGGCGUGAGGGCAUCAGGCUUGUUUGGGGCAUGAGACAGGCUGUUUGGCAUUCGACAACGGCGGCAAGAGUCUUAAUAGCACAAGGAUGGAAGAAUGAGGAAAUCCCAACCAAAGAACUGUGGCAAGAAAAACUGAUGAACUAUGCGGAAUUGGCGGAAUUGACACACAAACUACGUGAUAAGGACAACUGUGACUUUAAAGAAGAAUGGGAACCUUUUGCAAAGUACUUAAAGAAACAACAAAAUGAACUGGAUUCCUUGGCAGGUUUUGAAUAAACAUACACAAACUUUU